rnacentral:lncRNA from 1 species
UGGGUAGCCUUUUUCAUAGGAUCUCCCAUUUUCACCACCAGGUGUCAAUCUGUGGCGAUCUUAUGAAGCUACUGAAAGGACAGGCCAUAACUGAGGAUAAAUGCCAAGAUUUCAAAAGCAGUAAUAAACGGGCUGGGUUAAGUUGUGGAUGAAACACAGAAAACACUGUUAGACCUUGAACAAUUUGUUUGGUUCUGGAUACAAAGGAAACCCCCGAUUUUGCGUCCAUCAGGUACCUCCAGGAAGACUUGCGCAAAGGGAGCUUGGCCUCAUCCCCAGAAAUGCAGGAAAAGCCCGCCCUUCACUUUCGGGAGCUAACACCCCAAGCCAUGCUUCUGAGGUGCGCUCUGUAGAAAGCAAACCCUAAACGAAUUCCAUCCCGGACGUGCAAGAGCCUCCCAGAUGGGAACUGCGCAGACUAGAAGCUCUUUUUCCACUACGAGCAGUUGUUAAAUAGGGUCCCUUGUUUCUGGAAUUGGAAAGUCGAGGCGAGGAGACCGAUGGAGACUUUGAAGGACGGGCGGGAAUAGAGGGGACCUAGCAAUCGGAGUCUCAGGUCAUGGAGGUCCACCCUCGGAGCCCAGCGCUCUUGGGCCGGGGCUGGGGCAGUAGGGCUUAGGGGGAUCUUGCACUUUGGUCCGGGGCUCCUGGCCAUGGGUGAGGGGGCGGGGGAGAGCACAGGAAAGGGCUUGAAGAACUCAGGCGGCAGAGAAAGCAAACUGAAGAAGUGAGCAUUAUUUCCCCGGAGAGGGGCAGGGGCAGGGAAUCGCGACUGGGGGAGGAGCUUGGGCCCGUAGGCGGGGGUUCCCGAGGAGUUACUGGUGGAGUGGAGGGGAGGGGAGGGAAAGGGGUGGAUAGGGAAAGGAUAUUUGACCCGAGGGAAGGAGGAAAGGAGAGCCAGUGUAGAACCGGGAGAAGGUGGGUAUUGCUGAAAUUGAUGAGGCUGGCUGUGCUUUGUGGGUGGAAAGUCGAGGUGGGGGGCAGCGGGAGCGGGGCAGGACACUUCUGGACCAAGCGCUGUUGCAGCAGAAGCUCCUCCGGGACUGGCAGCUGGUAA